rnacentral:lncRNA from 1 species
GAUAAUAAGAAAAAUGAAAAGAAAAGAUAGAGAUAAUCUGCCGCAAUUGCACUUCGGUGUCAUGGAUUCAGUAUGCCGCUUCAACAUCUCAUUAUCCUGCAGCACUCUGUCGCUAUCUUCUACCUAUGAAUAAAAACAGACCUUACUUGUCAGAGAAGCAAAUGUGAAACCUUAUUACAACAUGUAUGCUACUUAUUACAACAUGUAUGCUAAGUCGCUAACCCAUAGAGACAGCUAGAACAAAUGUGAAAACUUUCCAUGUUGCCGAGUAAGUAUAUGAGCACCCCUCAAAACAUCAAUUAGCAAGUACUUGACACAUACAAACUUGUACAGAAAAAAUAACACUUCCGAAUUUAAUUGGCUUCAAAGAUUGCAAGGAAGGCAUACUGAUGAGCUGCAAUGCAAUCUUCAAUGUUCAGUACUUGUACACGCUAUGCUCCUGCGGUGCAACCCCUAGCUCAUGUGGCUUCACAAAGUCUACAUUGUAUAGGACAUUUUUUAGCAAAGGGUGAAACUGCAUACAUAUACAUCUCAAAUCAUAUGUAGUAUGUGUCUAGUCAUCCUACGAUUGCCCGAGCUUAGAACUGUAUUUCUUAUAAAAACUUUAGACAUGUUCAGGAAACACAUGUAGUUAACGACAAGUGUACAUAUCACCCAUUUUAUAGGUUCAAAGACAGAUAACAAAAAUUAACUAGACAAAGUUAGAUGACAGUGAAGUCUUCCUACUUAUAGUGGCAAGAAAAUCUUAUAUGAAUGUGUUAUAAUAAAUAAUGCUAACCAUGAAGUCUUCUUCCAUAUAACAAAGGAGUGAUGAAAACAAAAAACCUGUAAUUCAAGUACGACAUGCAGUUAGUUAAUUAUUUGCAUGUCAACAGUUCUAACGUCUAGCUACAGAUCUUCAAAGUAAAGAUUGUGAACUCUAUUAGACAUGACUAGAUCUUUAGUCGAAGCUCAAAAUAAAGUUUUAUUGGCACCAUGUACUACUUAAGAAGGACCAUACGCCCAACAAAAAUUAAUAUCCAUGAUUAUAGACAAUAUUAUAGUUACCUGAAUGAAGUUUUUCCUUUCAAAUCCAUCCAAAUUAAGUUGACACUACUGCAGUUAUCUGGCAGCGUGCAUGUGUUAUUUAAUUUAUAUAAAAGCUUCUGUCCACUAUUUAAUUGUGAAAUGAAGUAGUCAUACUAACUAUUGGUAAAUAAUAUAGUAAACUGGAGCCAAGAAAUCAUGAUGUUUUAAUCUGAAUAAGUACCGGUGCGACUAUAUUGCAGUUCUCUAGUCUUUAGCUACAGAAAUACUUAUCUACCACCAUGAAUAAUUGGCCUUGAUUCCUCUCUUUAUAUUAAAAACAUAUCCGAAGAAGACUUAGUAGUUUGUUGCCAACUUCACUGUACUGUAACAAACAAAGACAAGGUGAUAUAUUCAGUUCAAGAAAAAUCAAGAACUUCAGAAAGAACUAAGACUAACCGAUCACAAUAUAUAAAGCUCUUUAGCUUGGAUGUUUCUUAUGGUCCCAUUGCAUUACACUGCAUAACAAUUUGGGCAUCAUAAGAAGAACUACCAACUCCGAUCGCAUUUUUUUAAUGUAAACAGCAGAUUUAUUUUGGUGCCGCUGAAACACAGUUUUUUUUUCAUUUACUAUAUUUGCUUGCUUUAACGCAAAGCUACAUACAAACGCUGAGAUAAAAGGGAAACAAAAUUAUUUAGUUGUAUGUUACUCGAUUAUGCAACAACCUGACAUUGUUGUGCCUAUUUCUAGCAUCGUCAGUCACCUGCGGUUGGCCGUCACCACAACCUGCCAUUGUACCUUCGCUUGUUGCACUACUCCCCUGCAGCCGGUCGCUGCACUGUCGUGCCCUGCUAGUCGCCAUCUAGUUCCCUGCCAGUAUUCGCCUGGUGCUCAGCCUUGCAAGCCCUGUGUCUGCAUGUGCCCUGUGUCUGCAUGUGCCCGCAUAGCUGAUGGAGGACACGUCGCGGACAUGUCAAUUUUCAUCUUGACCUCCGAUGGUUUCAUCUACAUGAUGAAAUUAUUAGAUGUUAGAUUGUAGAACAAAGCUGGAGAGUGGUAAUAACAUGGAAUAUCUAUAUAUAAGGGCUAGCUAUAAUAUACUUGUUUGACACAACUCACACGCCAUUGGAUAAAGCAAAGUUCAACACCUACUAUCAUAUUCAGUUAUUCACUUCUUUUCUUUUACGAUUUAGCACGCAUCCACUCGAGCAGCCCCAAACUGUGUAAAAGCAACAAAUUUUAAUCAUAAUUCAUCCGAAAAUAUAUAAUGUUUAGCAAGAGCAAGCAGGAGCAUGUUUAGGCUACACUAUGGCCUAAAAGCAUCUUAUCAAAUUUAGGCUACACCAGUGGAUACAGGCUAGUCAAAUCAGACUCACCUAUUAACCGACUUGGACUACAAAUUCCUAAUCCUGGUAUUAUACUCCUACCAACGCAGCUAGAUAGCUAGGACAAGUCCUAGUCGGACUCAAGUUAGUAUUUUUCCUAAUAAUCUAAUUAUAGGCCACGUUGAUCACACCUUACUAAUUCUGGCCGGACACUAGUAACACAAGAAAAGCACAGGCACGAGGAAGUGAACCCUAGUGGGCAGGAUCUUGUGGUACUGGCAGAAUCGCUCGACCACGAACACCUGUCGCUGCGGCACUGUGGCCACGCCAAGGUGCGCUUGGGUCGACGGCGGAUCGGCGCCCGCGGCGGCUCCCCAGUACCAGCGGGGCACGGGCGCUUGGCCCUGCAGCACCGCCGGGUUGGGGUCCGGGCGGGCGGAGCGGAGGAGGCAGGAGGCGGAGGUGCGGCGCGCGUGGAUGCGCCGCAUCGCGCGGGUGGCCGCCGACAUCGACAUCGCCAUCGCCCAAUUCCCUCUCCGCGGCGGCGCUGGGUGGGGGAGUGGGUGACCUAGGAGCCUAGGAGCGUCCAGCGAGUGGGUGACCAGCGACAGCGAGUGGGUGAUCUGGGACUGGGAGGGAAGGUGCGGGCGACGGAUGCAGGGGAGAAGGAGAGGGAGAGGCUGGGGAUCGCCGGUGGGGAGGUCGCCGGGGUGGUGGGCGGCGGCGGCGGCGGCGGCGUGGGAUGGGAGGGAGACGAGGGUUGAAUCGGGAGAAGAGAGGAGGUGGAAGGGAUCUGGAUCGAGGGUUGGGUGUGUUUUUUUUUAGAGAAACAGUGGUGGGUGGAGUGGGAGGGUUGGUGGGGUGA